CUGGUUUGUUACUGUUAUAAUUGAACAUAACUUGCCUGACAAACAAAUUCAGCAGUGUCACUUUUGAAUUUUGUACAGGAUGCAUUAAGUUGACUGUUGAAUUGGAAAGCAAAAAUAAAAUUUUUAGUAGCAGUAAAUUUUAUUGAAAGAUAUUAUGUGAUGGUAAUGUGCAAUAUAUAUUUCUUACAUUUAGCUUUUGGGGUUACCUGGUUCCAAUUCGUGCAUUUUACAGUGGAUGUGAAAAAUAACAAAUCCUACUUGUUCACUAAUUUUGCUCAAAAAGUAGUAAAUUUUGUGGAAAGAUAAUCGAUAUUGAUAAUGGGGAAUAUAUAUUUUUGGCUUUAGGUUUUGAGAUGAUAAGUUCCAUUUUAAUGCAUUUUACAGUGGAAGAAGAAGCGUAUGAGAAGGUUGAAGAGGAAGCGCCGAAAGAUGAGACAAAGAUCCAAGUAGAGGAUGGAAAUCGAUAGUGAGAUUGUUCUUUUUUCAGAACCAGCUUCUUUUCUGGCUGACUAGCAAUCAUGAUGAACUGAAGGAAGUUCUGUAUAGGGAGCUUUCUUGUUGUCUAUUCUGUUCCUAUCUUGCCUUCGAGCGUCUUGUUUUCUAUGAGUUUUGAGAAAAUUUAGGUUUUAGAGUAAUGACUAGCUUCUGCUACUUUUAUGUUGUCAUUUGAGUGAAAGACUCAUGUUAAAACCUAUUUCAUCCAUUCUGCGCAACUAAGGAUUGAUCUAUGAAUGGAUGCAGUGUUUUUAGCCAUAUAUCUCUAUUGAUGUCUUCUUUCAUUUAUUGCUUUUGGCUCAGCAAUCGGCAUUUGGUGAACAAGUUUUUGGUUAGUUGGGUGCAUCAAAUUCCUUUUGCCUUGUUACUUUUGAUGGUUUUCAUGUUGUGUUUGCUUGAACUCAAACUGCAAGUAUACUACAUUCUUUUCCUCUGUGGGAUAUAUUUUUCUUGGAUCUUGAUACAUGAGGGUAAUUGAAGAAGCUGUCAUGGAUUCAAAGAUGUUUAAAUCUAUG
rnacentral:lncRNA from 1 species